GGGAGGCUAAAAAUUGCUUUUUGAAAAUGUAUAUUUUAAAUAUUGUUGAAAAAAGUAGGUUGAAAAAUUUGUUUAAUUAUUUUAUAGUUCAAUUUUAAAAAAUUGUAAAAACAUUAAAAAAAAGAUAAUAAACCUUAAAAAAAAGAUAAUAAACCAUCUGGCACUGUGCCAGAGCAUUGAGAAUUUAAAAAAUAAAAUCUUAUAGAAACAGUGUCAUAGUUAUUGUUAAA
rnacentral:misc_RNA from 1 species